rnacentral:rRNA from 1 species
GAUGAACGCUGGCGGCGUGCCUAAUACAUGCAAGUCGAGCGAACGGACGAGAAGCUUGCUUCUCUGAUGUUAGCGGCGGACGGGUGAGUAACACGUGGAUAACCUACCUAUAAGACUGGGAUAACUUCGGGAAACCGGAGCUAAUACCGGAUGAUAUUUUGAACCGCAUGGUUCAAUAGUGAAAGACGGUCUUGCUGUCACUUAUAGAUGGAUCCGCGCUGCAUUAGCUAGUUGGUAAGGUAACGGCUUACCAAGGCAACGAUGCAUAGCCGACCUGAGAGGGUGAUCGGCCACAGUGGAACUGAGACACCGGCCAGACUCCUACGGGAGGACGCAGUAGGGAACCUUCCGCAAUGGGCGAAAGGCUGACGGAGCAACGCCGCGUGAGUGAUGAAGGUCUUCGGAUCGUAAAACUCUGUUAUUAGGGAAGAACAUAUGUGUAAGUAACUGUGCACAUAUUGACGGUACCUAAUCAGAAAGCCACGGCUAACUACGUG